GAUGAACGCUGGCGGCGUGCCUAAUACAUGCAAGUCGAGCGAAUGGAUUAAGAGCUUGCUCUUAUGAAGUUAGCGGCGGACGGGUGAGUAACACGUGGGUAACCUGCCCAUAAGACUGGGAUAACUCCGGGAAACCGGGGCUAAUACCGGAUAAUAUUUUGAACCGCAUGGUUCGAAAUUGAAAGGCGGCUUCGGCUGUCACUUAUGGAUGGACCCGCGUCGCAUUAGCUGGUUGGUGAGGUAACGGCUCACCAAGGCAACGAUGCGUAGCCGACCUGAGAGGGUGAUCGGCCAAACUGGGACUGAGACACGACCCAGACUCCUACGGGAGGCAGCAGUAGGGAAUCUUCCGCAAUGGGCGAAAGUCUGACGGAGCAACGCCGCGUGAGUGAUGAAGGCUUUCGGGUCGUAAAACUCUGUUGUUAGGGAAGAACAAGUGCUAGUUGAAUAAGCUGGCACCUUGACGGUACCUAACCAGAAAGCCACGGCUAACUACGUGCCAGCAGCCGCAGUAA
rnacentral:rRNA from 1 species